UUCGCAAUGCCCGAAAGGGUGACGAUGCGACGCCGCGUGAGCGAAGAAGGCCCUAGGGUUGUAAAGCUCUGUCGAGGGUUAUGAAAUAUAGAUGGGUUAAUACCCCAUUUAUUUGACAAAAGCCCAAAAGGAAGCCACGGCUAACUCUGUACCAGCAGCCGCGGUAAUACAGAGGUGGCGAGCGUUGUUCGGUAUUAUUGGGCGUAAAGAGCACGUAGGUGGUUUUGUAAGUCAGGUGUGAAAGCCUUCUGUUCAAAGGAAGAACGGCAUCUGAAACUGCAGAUCUUGAGUGUAGGAGGGGAGAGUGGAACUUCUGGUGGAGCGGUGAAAUGCGUAGAUAUCAGAAGGAACGUCGGCGGCGAAAGCGACUCUCUGGCCUAUUACUGACACUGAGGUGCGAAAGUUAGGGGAGCAAACGGGAUUAGAUACCCCGGUAGUCCUAACCGUAAACGAUGGGCACUAAGUAGAGGGGUUUU
rnacentral:rRNA from 1 species